GCCAUAAUGGCAUAAUGGUUUGAGUAUCGGACUACAACUCCAGAGACCAGGGUUCAAUUCCCAGCAUUGCCA